rnacentral:rRNA from 1 species
AGCAACAAAUGCCCUGCUUCCAGGAAAAGCCUCUAAGCAUCAGGUAACAUCAAAUCGUACCCCAAACCGACACAGGUGGUCAGGUAGAGAAUACCAAGGCGCUUGAGAGAACUCGGGUGAAGGAACUAGGCAAAAUGGUGCCGUAACUUCGGGAGAAGGCACGCUGACACGUAGGUGAAGUGAUUUACUCAUGGAGCUGAAGUCAGUCGAAGAUACCAGCUGGCUGCAACUGUUUAUUAAAAACACAGCACUGUGCAAACACGAAAGUGGACGUAUACGGUGUGACGCCUGCCCGGUGCCGGAAGGUUAAUUGAUGGGGUCAGCGCAAGCGAAGCUCCUGAUCGAAGCCCCGGUAAACGGCGGCCGUAACUAUAACGGUCCUAAGGUAGCGAAAUUCCUUGUCGGGUAAGUUCCGACCUGCACGAAUGGCGUAAUGAUGGCCAGGCUGUCUCCACCCGAGACUCAGUGAAAUUGAACUCGCUGUGAAGAUGCAGUGUACCCGCGGCAAGACGGAAAGACCCCGUGAACCUUUACUAUAGCUUGACACUGAACAUUGAGCCUUGAUGUGUAGGAUAGGUGGGAGGCUUUGAAGUGUGGACGCCAGUCUGCAUGGAGCCGACCUUGAAAUACCACCCUUUAAUGUUUGAUGUUCUAACGUGGACCCGUAAUCCGGGUUGCGGACAGUGUCUGGUGGGUAGUUUGACUGGGGCGGUCUCCUCCUAAAGAGUAACGGAGGAGCACGAAGGUUGGCUAAUCCUGGUCGGACAUCAGGAGGUUAGUGCAAUGGCAUAAGCCAGCUUGACUGCGAGCGUGACGGCGCGAGCAGGUGCGAAAGCAGGUCAUAGUGAUCCGGUGGUUCUGAAUGGAAGGGCCAUCGCUCAACGGAUAAAAGGUACUCCGGGGAUAACAGGCUGAUACCGCCCAAGAGUUCAUAUCGACGGCGGUGUUUGGCACCUCGAUGUCGGCUCAUCACAUCCUGGGGCUGAAGUAGGUCCCAAGGGUAUGGCUGUUCGCCAUUUAAAGUGGUACGCGAGCUGGGUUUAGAACGUCGUGAGACAGUUCGGUCCCUAUCUGCCGUGGGCGCUGGAGAACUGAGGGGGGCUGCUCCUAGUACGAGAGGACCGGAGUGGACGCAUCACUGGUGUUCGGGUUGUCAUGCCAAUGGCACUGCCCGGUAGCUAAAUGCGGAAGAGAUAAGUGCUGAAAGCAUCUAAGCACGAAACUUGCCCCGAGAUGAGUUCUCCCUGAGACUUAGAGUCUCCUGAAGGAACGUUGAAGACGACGACGUUGAUAGGCCGGGUGUGUAAGCGCAGCGAUGCGUUGAGCUAACCGGUACUAA